CCGAGAUCUUCUGCCGCCACUCCCAGGAGGCGGUCGCCCGGCAAGGUCCGCACGCAGGUCGACGCCAUCCACCACUGCUUCUCGUGACGCCAGGCCGACCGCGCCUCCAGCGUCCUCGCAGAGCUCGCAAAAAUGGAUGGGUCUACAUGGAGGAUGAACAAGUUCACAGACUUCUCACCAUUCUUGAUGCCGCACCCAUGUGAUUCACAUCUCUGGGAACGCCAUCUCUUCCAUCGUGGGCCUUAGUUCCUGGACACCGGAGUCUCCCCCUGGACCUGACUUCCGCCAAAUGGCCAACUACUUGACACCUGAACAAGGGGAUAAAAGUCAGAGGCAUGGGGAUGAUGAUGUCAUGGAUGUUUGGAAAAUGGUAACGACGAGAGUUCUUCAUGCAGUAAGAAACCAGUAAGAACUGAACUUAGUUUUGUACCAUUGCGGUUUGCAAAGCUUUGGAGGCAACUUAAUGUUUAAGCUCUCUAAUUUGUCAUUCUCCCAUAUGAAAUUGUCCCGUUAUCUAGUUGUAAUUUUUCUGGAUGCUAUUCUUUCAUCAUAGGCCUUUUAUUCUGUAAGGUAAAUUAGAGGUUUAUUAAAUUAUUAUUUAAGUAAUUUAUGGGUUAACUUCUCCUUGAGCUGGCUCGUGUCUCCACAUGCCUUUUGCUCCCUUAACCUCCUCCUUCCUAUGAAAUCUUUGUAAGAAGGUACAUUUCAGUACAAAAGAGGUAUAUUUUAGUAUAAGAAAACUGAGUAUUUUCACAAAGUAUCAGUAGAAAUUAAAUAUUAGUAUGACAAGAUAUUUUAGUACCUUCUGUGAAGAAAUAGUACAAGUGAAAUCAGUCAGGGAGUACUACCUGAAGAAUAUCAUCACAACUUGACAAGUAUGAAACCGAACCUUUAGUUGCACCAGGUGACUAUCCUUGUCAUCUCCAGAUUGAAGCCUCUCAUCUUAGCCUCUUCUCCAAGCAUGCACCGAAGACUGUAGAAAAUGCAGAACAAUGUACAUGUGAAUUGGAAUCUCAACCUUCAGUGAACAGAUAUUUUUUGAACUAUUGUCAACUCUGUACAUGGUCCAGAUUAGCUCAUAAUGAUACCUCUCCAAUUCUUGCUUGCUUGCUA